ensembl:ncRNA lncRNA:CR46000 long non-coding RNA:CR46000
GAUUGAAGUUUUGGAUGAAAUGAUGCCGACAUUCGUCAAAUUUGUUGGCAUCAGCAAACAGUUUGGGAUUCCGAUUCCGAUUCCGAAUCCGACUGCAACAACAACAACAAGAGCAGCAAUGUGGCAGCGUGCGCCGCAUUUGCAGGCAGUAAGUGCGACAGAGAUGGAAUGAGAGCGACCACCCACAGUGCAGCAUCACUGUAUUUCUCUCUCGCUCGCACGCGCAGCGAAAACCGCAUAAAUCCAUAUUUCUCUAGCUUGUGCUUUUUACGAUAAAUUACAGAGGUUGCAGGGUGUUCGGUAGCGCACAAAUGAUCAUUCAUUCACAAGACAGCAGAUACCCCCGCAUGCCCCCUAAUUCCUCACCGUCCCUCUCCCCGCCACUCCUACGCCCCUCUGCAAAUGCCGCACUUUUCGUGUAAACAUGUGUAAAUCAUGACCCGUUGAUGGCCUUUAUAUUCAUGGUAGAGCAAGAGGAGGGGUGGUGGAUGU